rnacentral:rRNA from 1 species
UGUAUUGGAGAGUUUGAUCCUGGCUCAGGAUGAACGCUGGCGGUAUGCUUAACACAUGCAAGUCGUACGAAGUACGAUGGGGUUUACUCUAUCGUAUGGCAGUGGCGGACGGGUGCGUAACGCGUAAGAACUUACCUUUUGGCGAGGGACAACCGCGGGAAACUGCGGCUAAUACCUCAUAGAGCUGAGGAGCGAAAGGUGAAAACCACCAAAAGAGAGGCUUGCGUCUGAUUAGCUAGUUGGUGAGGGUAAUGGCCUCCCAAGGCGACGAUCAGUAGCUGGUCUGAGAGGAUGAUCAGCCACACUGGAACUGAGACACGGUCCAGACUCCUACGGGAGGCAGCAGUGAGGAAUUUUCCGCAAUGGGCGCAAGCCUGACGGAGCAAUACCGCGUGGAGGAGGAAGGCCCGUGGGUCGUAAACUCCUUUUCUCAGAGAAGAACACAAUGACGGUAUCUGAGGAAUAAGCAUCGGCUAACUCCGUGCCAGCAGCCGCGGUAAUACGGAGGAUGCAAGCGUUAUCCGGACUGAUUGGGUGUAAAGCAUCUGUAGGCGGUUUUGGAAGUCUACGGUUAAAUCCCAGAGCUUAACUUUGGUUCAGCCGUAGAGUACUUCAAAGCUUGAGUAUGGUAGGGGUAGAGGGAACUUCUCGUGGAGCGGUGAAAUGCACAGAGAUGAGAAGGAACACCAGUGGCGAAAGCGCUCUACUGGGCCAUGACUGACGCUGAGAGAUGACAGCUGAGGGAGCGAAUAGGAUUAGAUACCCUAGUAGUCUCAGCCGUAAACGAUGGAUACUAGAUGUUGCCACAAGCAGUGUCGAAGCUAACGCGUUAAGUAUCCCACCUGGGGAGUACGUACGCAAGUAUGAAACUCAAAGGAAUUGACGGGAAUUGACACAAGUGGUGGAUUAUGUGGUUUAAUUUGAUGCAACGCGGAGAACCUUACCAGGGAUUGACAUGGUGAGAAUCUUUCCGAAAGGGAAGAGUGCCCUUUGGGGAACUCACACACAGGUGGUGCAUGGCUGUCGUCAGCUCGUGCCGUGAGGUGUUUGGUUAAGUCCAAUAACGAGCGCAACCCUUGUUCGCUGUUAAAUGUCUGCGAAGACUGCCAGUGUAAACUGGAGGAAGGAAAGGAUGACGUCAAGUCAGCAUGCCCCUUACGUCCUGGGCUACACACGUAAUACAAUGGGUGAGACAAUCAGAAGCGAUCUCGCGAGAGCUAGCGAAUCUGUUAAACUCAUCCUCAGUUCGGAUUGUAGGCUGCAACUCGCCUACAUGAAGCCGGAAUCACUAGUAAUCGCCAGUCAGCUAUAUGGCGGUGAAUACGUUCCUCAAUUUUGUACACACCGCCCGUCACACCACGAAAGUAAUGAUUGCCCAAAGUCGUUACCUUAACCUUUUUGGAGGGGGACGCCUACGGCAGUCGUUGUAAUCAGGGUGAAGUCGUAACAAGGUAUCCCUACUGGAAGGUGGGGAUGGAGAACCUCCUUC